rnacentral:rRNA from 1 species
GGUGAGGUAAUGGCUCACCAAGGCAUCGACGGGUAGCUGGUCUGAGAGGACGAUCAGCCACACUGGGACUGAGACACGGCCCAGACUCCUACGGGAGGCAGCAGUAGGGAAUCUUGCGCAAUGGGCGAAAGCCUGACGCAGCAACGCCGCGUGGGGGAUGAAGGCCUUCGGGUUGUAAACCCCUUUCAGCAGGGACGAAAAUGACGGUACCUGCAGAAGAAGCUCCGGCCAACUACGUGCCAGCAGCCGCGGUAAUACGUAGGGAGCAAGCGUUGUCCGGAAUUAUUGGGCGUAAAGAGCUCGUAGGCGGUUCGGUAAGUCGGGUGUGAAAAUCCAGGGCUCAACCCUGGGACGCCACCCGAUACUGCUGUGACUAGAGUCCGGUAGAGGAGUGUGGAAUUCCUGGUGUAGCGGUGAAAUGCGCAGAUAUCAGGAGGAACACCAGCGGCGAAGGCGGCACUCUGGGCCGGUACUGACGCUGAGGAGCGAAAGCAUGGGGAGCAAACAGGAUUAGAUACCCUGGUAGUCCAUGCCGUAAACGUUGGGCACUAGGUAUGGGGUCUUAUCAACGGAUUCCGUGCCGUAGCUAACGCAU